rnacentral:rRNA from 1 species
UACGGAGGGGGCGAGCGUUAUUCGGAAUUAUUGGGCGUAAAGGGCGCGUAGGCGGCCUUGUAAGUCAAAGGUGAAAUCCCUCGGCUCAACUGAGGAACUGCCUUUGAAACUGCAAGGCUUGAGGCCGGGAGGGGGUAGCGGAACUCCCAAUGUAGCGGUGAAAUGCGUAGAUAUUGGGAGGAACACCAGUGGCGAAGGCGGCUACCUGGACCGGUUCUGACGCUGAGGCGCGAAAGCGUGGGUAGCAAACAGG